UACGAAGGGGGCUAGCGUUGCUCGGAAUCACUGGGCGUAAAGCGCGCGUAGGCGGAUCGUUAAGUCGGGGGUGAAAUCCUGGAGCUCAACUCCAGAACUGCCUUUGAUACUGGCGAUCUUGAGUCCGGGAGAGGUGAGUGGAACUCCGAGUGUAGAGGUGAAAUGCGUAGAUAUCGGAAGGAACGCCGGUGGCGAAAGCGGCGCACUGGAUCCCUACUGACGCUGAGGCGCGAAAGCCAGGGGAGCAAACGGG
rnacentral:rRNA from 1 species